AAGGAAGGAAGAGUAUAAGAUCAGUAGGUGGCGGUAAUGCACCUUUUUCGCUGGUUUGCCAAACCGCCAUAAAACACCAGAAGAAGAAGAAGAAGAAGAACAAG